UGAAGGUGAAGCCUGGAUUUCAUUGGAGAUCCCAAGAUGUUGGAGAUGCCAGUCACAAGAUACCUGCCAAGGGAAACUGAUAACAAGGAGUGGAACCAGCCCAAGGGAAAGAAGGAUGUUGCAGUCAACAAAGCUGAAAGGACUGGGAGAUCUGAACUGGGAGACCUUUGAUAUCAGACAUGAAGAUGCAGAGUUUGGAGUUUACCCUGCUGGGUUUUGGUCUUGCUUUGGUCCAAUCUCCCUUUAAGAAUGGGAAUAUAUAGCUACAGUAUUGCUACAAGCCUAUGUAGGGCCAGAGUGGAAGGUGGUGCUUUGAAUAAACCCUCAGAGGCUCAUAUAUUUGAGUGCUUGGUCUCCAGUUGGUGGAACUGUUUGGGAGGGAUCAGGAGGUGUGGCCUUUUAGAGGAGAUAUGCCACUGGAGGUGGCUUGGAGGUUUCAAAAGCCCAAGGCAUGUGGACAAGCCUCUCUGUGGAGGUAGGGGAGGAACAGAACAUGGAUAAGCCACUACUUCUGACAGUGUGUGCAAGUGGAAUUGAUUACAGAAACUGAAGGCUCUGGAGGAUGGGGAACCUGUGACAGCUAGAGAAUGGACAGUGAUUGUCUUGUCACCUCUUCCUACCUCCCCUCCCCUACUCAGGAGCCCUUUGUGACAGAGAGACAGGGGUCAUGUGAUAUGGGCCUGGGUCCAGCUGCUAACUCCCAGAGAGAACUCUCAGCAUUCAGUAGCCUGAGAACAACAGAAUGAUUCAGAUGGAGAAGUUUCUGUCUGCCAGAAAAACUUGAUUCUGCAUGGCUGACCACACUUCAUGGCUGACCCCCAGCUUCACUACUUGGGCAAUGGACAUGAUCCUUGCCUUUGUGUGUGGGCUGGGGCUCUUCCACCUAUUACUCUUCUUCCACCUUGACUCACCUUCACCUCCACCAGUGGAAAACACCACCACCCAAAAGGUGGUGAAGAGGGAGUACAGCAAGGAUAGGAAGAAAAACAGGACCGUGAAAGCUUACAGAGGCAGCAGGAAGAAACCCAAGGGGGACAAGGUACUGGUUUCCCUUCUGCACAGGUGAGCCAUCUCCAGGUUUCUCUGGCUCCUCCCUCCUCUUGUCUGUUAUGUGAUCAGCCCCGACCAGGGCACAAGGUUACCAUGGGAAUAGGGGCCCUCUGGAUGGGUGGGGUAUGAGUACAGCCUGGAGGUUAAGAUAACAAGGUCUGUAAAAAGCAGAGUGUGAAACAGUGGCUGGGAUGGGGAGCGAGGGUCCUUCCCUCCUCAGCUUGCCCAGCUUCCUGGCUGCAAUCACAUCUCCUGUCUUCCGCAGCAUGCUAGAGAGGCUUGCCGAUACCAUCAGCUUUUGCCAGCUCUUAGGACAAGAUGCCUCGGGUGAAGCAUCUAAGCCAGAAGCUGCCAAAGCCCACCUGCCACCUAGUCAGCCCACAGAGAAGUCUGUGGCCACCAGUUUGUCCCUAGCGGUUUCCUCUGCUCCUCUCAAAGAUUCUAAAAUCUCAUCACCUGUCCUGCUGGAUUCCUCAGCUUCUAUUGAGUCACAGUUUUCUGGGAGUGCCUCUCAGCCACCAGAGACCUUGACUCCUGGAAGACGUUAUUCACCACCACUGGCAUCUUCCCACCCAUCUCAUCCUCCUGAUCCUGUGGCUUGUCCUCCACCCAUGCCAGAUCCCAGCACAAAGGCUCCUUGGUGUGACUGGAAAACACUGGGGACCUCACAGAGCACACCUCUGCCAGGUUUGCCUUCUCCAAUCCCAACCACCGCAGGACUUGACCAUUCAAGGAAGCUUCCCUCCACCAUGCCAGGCCUUGACCACUCAAUCAGACCUACCUCUACCACCCCAGGCCUUGACCACUCAAUCAGACCUACCUCUACCACCCCAGGCCUUGACCACUCAAUUAGGCCUACCUCCACUACCCCAGGUCUUGACCACACAAGGAAGCCUACCUCUACCAAGUCAGGCAAAAUCAAGGUGGCCUACCUUCACUACCCCAGGCCUUGACCACUCAAGCAUGCCAACUCAAGCCCUUCUUGCUAAAACCUGAUGCCACUCCAAACUCAUCAAAUGAUGAGUUCUUGUAAGAUCAUCUUUCAGCCUCCAAGAGGCCUUAUUCAGUAGAGGCCACAAACACAGGCAUAUAAAGACUGGAGAGUCCACUUUCAUCAAUCCUGAUAUCCAGAAAAUGCUGGAUUCUUCAGAUUAGUAAUAGUAUCGAACUGAAAGUUUGGAAGGGGAAAGGCAAAGACAGGUGUGACCGUGCCCUGGGCUAUAUGGACAAUAUGCUGCAGUCCUGGAGCAGCCAGCAGGCCACCACCAUAACCUGCAUAUCAGAGCAAUUUACAGGUCAUCAGCAGUUCUUUUGCCGAAAGGUCAUGGACAACAAUGUGAAGGAGAAAAGUAGCCAGCUUUUCUGGGGCCUCCCCUUUCCCCACAGUGAGUCCCUUGUGGCUACUGUCAACAUGGCAGGGUCCCCACCAGAGUCCCCCUCCAUCUCAUUCAAUGCUUGCAUCUCAAUACAAGAUCACACUAAAGUACCUCCACAGCUCUCUUCUCCAAAGCCCUUGCUUUAUCACUUCUGUUUCUAAAGUUAUCCAGGUCCCAAUCCCCACCAGCGGCUGGAAUCCAAACCAGGCCCAUGACCCAUCCUCUCUCCCAAAGCUACCACACCAUUCACCUCCAACCAGGGAUUAUGGGGCUUCUCAACCUAGAGCUUCAAGAGUACAAUUUAUGAUCCCACCUGCUGCUCAACAUCUAGAGCGCCACCUUUUGAAGAAGCACCAAGAGAGUAAGUGCGAUUUACCCCCCAUAGUUAAGAGGUCACAGGAAGCAUUUCAUCAACUCAAUUCCAACAGUUGGGCCUCCCAGGGAAAAGGUUCUGUUGUCUACCUCCUGGGGGAAUUUCAUUAACCCUGGGCUCCAGCAGCAACUGGAACGACACUUCAAAAAGAGGUUCACACAACUCCAGUGGCCCCACAAGGUCCAGCUAUCUCUGGAUCCGAGAAAGUCUCAGGACAAACUCCCAGGGAUGGGUCAGGCAGAAGUUAACGACGGGACCUCAUGUUCCUCAGCACUGGCAGAUGAAAGCAGCCUUCAUGCACAGAGUGUCUCAUCACAGGGUCCAGAGACAUGCCACCUACGAAAGGACCUGACAAACUGUCUGGGAAGAGCUCUGAAAGGUCUGUACAGGAGCCCAGAAGGUUACCUGGGCAAACUUCUCGGGGCUGUCUCUGGACAGAGGAGGAAAGUUGCCACAUGAGGCCCCCAAGAAGUGACUCGUUUCCCCAGUGGAACCAGGAAAGCAGCAGCUAGAAGGCACCCUGAAAAACCACUCAAGCAGCAAGUGGAGGCAUGCUAAGGGCAGUAAAGUGCCGUGGGCAUUUGUCGUGGAAUAUCUAGGAACCAUGCCUUGGUUCCUCCUGAAAAGUUAGACAAAUAUGGAAACUUGGGGAAAAAACAACUUUGAAUGACUGUACCCCCUACAAGUACACCUCCAGUGGGUCUUCCUUCCCAGAUCCUGGCACUCAGAAGGUUCUGGAAACACAUCUUACAAGACGUCUGGUGAGGCACAGAUGGAGCCUGCCCCUCAGAGGCUUCAAGACCAUACAUGUUUUUAGCAUGAAAAAGGCUACCGUUUUCCACAUCCCUCCAAUUCCUCUUUGUCCUUCUGGGACUCUAGAUCCAGAUCCAUUGUCAAAAAGGCCAGUGUCCUGGGAGAACCUUUUCAGAAAGACCCAGAAGAGAAAUUGAGGAAAACACCUUCCACUAUGGAAUCUCUUUCCACACAGAACCCUCCUCCUGCCUCCCAGUUUAGAUUCCUGAGAGACUCCACCUAGUGACAAUUCUGGGCUCUCUGAGGCUCCUACAACUGUCCAGGGGGACAUAAUGACUUCUCUGUCCAACUUACAAAGUCUCUUGGGCAGGGAAUAGCACAGUGAUAUGGUUCUUAGAUCGUGAACAGGCAACCCAGAGCCAAAUCCAGGCAUAGUGAAGGGAGCCUGUGAGUCACAGGAGAGUGAGGGUGUGGCUUUAAGAGAUAAUCUACCAAAAGGUGUCAGUUCUGGAGAUCAAUGUGGCAUCCCAGUUACCAAGUAGCAGGGGCACCAGAGAACUAGAGGAGGCAGAGAAAGAGUCCUGUGUCUGGGUGCUUACCAUGCAAGCCAGGGAGAUGACCAGCGCUCAAACCAACAAUCAACAUCCAAGGGAUUUGGAAACACUGGAGACCAGUGAAAGUCCAUCCCUUUAUAGUACUCUUUCCCAGGAUGCAGAAGACUUGGGCCUGAGCACACCUUACUGCUUGGCUCCUGGUGCUGUCCCGCAGGACUGUCCCAUUAGGAUGUUCUUUUAAGACUGCCCUGAGGUUCUGCUUGCUUCAGACACCCUGGGCCCAGGGCCUCCCAGUCCAGCUUCAAGACUGUGUCUGCUACAAGCAAGUCAACCUCUUAGGACAGGUACCAUUUCUUGUCAUGAGAAGGGAAUGUUGCCAAGAUUCCCAAACUUCAGGAACAAUGCACUACCCACAUCUUUGGUCCAACUGACCAAAAAGAGGACGAUAGAAUUCCCAAGAAGGACAUAGGGCUCCCAGGGAUGAGGCCUGUCCAUGCAUAGCUCAAAUACUAAUGAAUGUAAUUCUUCCCCAGUUACAGAGAAAUAGUUUGGUACAGGACAAAAACCUUUAUGAUGUAGAUUUUGACACAAAAAGGCAAAGUACAGGAGAAUUCCCUGAAAAAAGUCAAGGGCUUAUCAGCCAUGAUCUAAAGCCAAGGGUCAGUCGUGAGCAGAGUAUUGAUGCACACACAGGUCCCAGAAGCACAGGAUCUCUUGACCUCUGGUGGAGAGGAGAAAUGGGGGGUUCACCACAGGUGUGCUCCCUCAAAGAAAAACUGCAUGAAGAACCACCUCAAGAUCCAGGGAGUAGGUAUGUGUGUUACCAUAGGAUUACUACUACAGAAUCAAAUAUAGCACAAGGAAACACUAGCUGUGUUCACCAAGCCAACACCAAGGUACACACAGCCAGCCUUCCACAGAAAGAAGGAUGCCCCAUGGUAACAACCAGCUUAGGUGUCCAGAAUCUGUGUCCCAGCCCGCCCCUAUCAGCACAGGACACAAUCAUUAUGUGCUGCACAGGCCGCAGUCCACUGUCCUAGGCACUGCCUCUGCAGAAGUAGACUAUAGAAAGUAAUUAAACACUUUUCCUCAAAAGA